AGUGGCGGACGGGUGAGUAACGCGUGAGAAUCUGCCUUGGGGUCGGGGACAACCACUGGAAACGGUGGCUAACACCGGAUAAGCCGAUUGGUGAAAGAUUUAUUGCCCGAAGAGGAGCUCGCGUCUGAUUAGCUAGUUGGUGAGGUAAGAGCUCACCAAGGCAGCGAUCAGUAGCUGGUCUGAGAGGACGAUCAGCCACACUGGGACUGAGACACGGCCCAGACUCCUACGGGAGGCAGCAGUGGGGAAUUUUCCGCAAUGGGCGAAAGCCUGACGGAGCAAGACCGCGUGAGGGAGGAAGGCUCUUGGGUUGUAAACCUCUUUUCUCAGGGAAGAAGCUCUGACGGUACCUGAGGAAUCAGCCUCGGCUAACUCCGUGCCAGCAGCCGCGGUAAUACGGAGGAGGCAAGCGUUAUCCGGAAUUAUUGGGCGUAAAGCGUCCGCAGGUGGCGAUUCAAGUCUGCUGUCAAAGCACGGGGCUUAACUCCGUAAAGGCAGUGGAAACUGAAUAGCUAGAGUGCCGUAGGGGUAGAGGGAAUUCCCGGUGUAGCGGUGAAAUGCGUAGAGAUCGGGAAGAACAUCGGUGGCGAAAGCGCUCUACUGGACGGCAACUGACACUCAGGGACGAAAGCUAGGGGAGCGAAUGGGAUUAGAUACCCC
rnacentral:rRNA from 1 species